ACUAAAGUCUUGUUAUCCUUGUUGUGUGAAUCAAGGGCAGCAGAACUGUGCUUGACAUACCCUGAUUGAGGGCCUCACUAAAAAGCAGAGGA